rnacentral:rRNA from 1 species
UACGGGGGGGGUAAGCGUUGUUCGGAAUUACUGGGCGUAAAGGGCGCGUAGGCGGCCUGAUAAGUAGGGGGUGAAAUCCUGCGGCUUAACCGCAGGGCUGCCUUCUAAACUGUCAGGCUUGAGCACAGUAGAGGCAGGUGGAAUUCCCGGUGUAGCGGUGGAAUGCGUAGAGAUCGGGAGGAACACCAAUUGCGAAGGCAGCUCGCUGGGACGUCACUGACGCUGAGACGCGAAAGCGUGGGGAGCAAACAGG